UGUCAGGCUACCCUGAGUUCCCUCUGUAAAAAUGCUCAUAGUAUUGUAUGUCUAUAAUCACAGCACUUGGGGAGGCUGAGGCAGGAGGAU
rnacentral:miRNA from 1 species